GUCCCUUCGGGGACAUCCGAUAAAAUUAGAAUGACAUAGAGAAGAUUAGCAUGAUAGCCCCGUGCAAGGAUGACAAGCGCAAAUUUAGAAAUGGUCCUGAUUUUU
rfam:Nicotiana attenuata strain TT chromosome 7, whole genome shotgun sequence.